AGUGAACGCUGGCGGUAGGCCUAACACAUGCAAGUCGAACGGCAGCACAGUAAGAGCUUGCUCUUACGGGUGGCGAGUGGCGGACGGGUGAGGAAUACAUCGGAAUCUACUUUUUCGUGGGGGAUAACGUAGGGAAACUUACGCUAAUACCGCAUACGUCCUACGGGUGAAAGCAGGGGAUCUUCGGACCUUGCGCGAUUGAAUGAGCCGAUGUCGGAUUAGCUAGUUGGCGGGGUAAAGGCCCACCAAGGCGACGAUCCGUAGCUGGUCUGAGAGGAUGAUCAGCCACACUGGAACUGAGACACGGUCCAGGCUCCUACGGGAGGCAGCAGUGGGGAAUAUUGGACAAUGGGCGCAAGCCUGAUCCAGCCAUACCGCGUGGGUGAAGAAGGCCUUCGGGUUGUAAAGCCCUUUUGUUGGGAAAGAAAAGCAGCAGGUUAAUACCCCGCUGUUCUGACGGUACCCAAAGAAUAAGCACCGGCUAACUUCGUG
rnacentral:rRNA from 1 species